rnacentral:rRNA from 1 species
GCUUGCACAGAUGACGACCGGCGCACGGGUGCGUAACGCGUAUAGAACCUACCUUUUACAGAGGAAUAGCCUUUAGAAAUGAAGAUUAAUGCCUCAUAGUAUUGUAGACUGGCAUCAGUUUAUAAUUAAAGAUUUAUCGGUAAAAGAUGGCUAUGCGUCCUAUUAGUUAGUUGGUAAGGUAACGGCUUACCAAGACAGCGAUAGGUAGGGGUCCUGAGAGGGAGAUCCCCCACACUGGUACUGAGACACGGACCAGACUCCUACGGGAGGCAGCAGUGAGGAAUAUUGGACAAUGGAGGAGACUCUGAUCCAGCCAUGCCGCGUGUAGGAAGAAUGCCCUAUGGGUUGUAAACUACUUUUAUACAGGAAGAAACACUGGUAUGUAUACCAGCUUGACGGU